GACGAACGCUGGCGGCGUGCUUAACACAUGCAAGUCGAACGGAAAGGCCCUGCUUGCGGGGUACUCGAGUGGCGAACGGGUGAGUAACACGUGGGUGAUCUGCCCUCCACUUCGGGAUAAGCCUUGGAAACUGGGUCUAAUACCGGAUAGGAGCCAUCUUUAGUGUGAUGGUUGGAAAGUUUUUUCGGUGUGGGAUGAGCUCGCGGCCUAUCAGCUUGUUGGUGGGGUAGUGGCCUACCAAGGCGGCGACGGGUAGCCGGCCUGAGAGGGUGGACGGCCACAUUGGGACUGAGAUACGGCCCAGACUCCUACGGGAGGCAGCAGUGGGGAAUAUUGCACAAUGGGCGGAAGCCUGAUGCAGCGACGCCGCGUGGGGGAUGACGGCCUUCGGGUUGUAAACUGCUUUCGCUAGGGACGAAGCUUUUGUGACGGUACCUAGAGAAGAAGCACCGGCUAACUACGUG
rnacentral:rRNA from 1 species